rnacentral:rRNA from 1 species
CCUACGGGAGGCAGCAGUGAGGAAUAUUGGUCAAUGGACGAGAGUCUGAACCAGCCAAGUAGCGUGAAGGAUGACUGCCCUAUGGGUUGUACACUUCUUUUAUCAAGGAAUAAAACGAGGCACGUGUGCCUUUUUGCAUGUACUUUAUGAAUAAGGAUCGGCUAACUCCGUGCCAGCAGCCGCGGUAAUGCGGAGGAUCCGAGCGUUAUCCGGAUUUAUUGGGGUUAAAGGGAGCGUAGAUGGGUUGUUAAGUCAGUUGUGAAAGUUUGCGGCUCAACCGUAAAAGUGCAAUUGAUACUGGCAGUCUUGAGUACAGUUGAGGUAGGCGGAAUUCGUGGUGUAGCGGUGAAAUGCUUAGAUAUCACGAAGAACCCCGAUUGCGAAGGCAGCUUACUAAACUGUGACUGACAUUGAUGCUCGAAAGUGUGGGUAUCAAACAGGAGUAGAUACCCUUGUAGUC